rnacentral:rRNA from 1 species
AGAAUCAACGCUGGCGGCGUGCCUAACACAUGCAAGUCGCACGAGAAAGGGUAGCAAUACCUGAGUACAGUGGCGCACGGGUGAGUAACACGUGAAUAAUCUACCUCCGAGUGGGGAAUAACUGAGAGAAAUCUUAGCUAAUACCGCGUAACACUUACGAGUCAAAGCAGCAAUGCGCUUGGAGAGGAGUUCGCGGCAGAUUAGUUAGUUGGCGGGGUAAUGGCCCACAAGACGAUGAUCUGUAUCCGGCCUGAGAGGGCGCACGGACACACUGGAACUGAAACACGGUCCAGACUCCUACGGGAGGCAGCAGUGGGGAAUUUUGCGCAAUGGGGAAACCCUGACGCAGCAACGCCGCGUGGAGGAUGAAAUCCCUUGGGAUGUAAACUCCUUUCGAUCGGGAAGAUAAUGACGGUACCGAGAGAAGAACGCCCGGCUAACUUCGUGCCAGCAGCCGC